GUCCUCCUUAGAAGGCCCGGAAUUGCAGGUGAGCUAGGUUUCCAGAAUAUACUAAGUGCUGGUCCUUAGGCAGAGGGGCCAGGGUAGACCUGGAGGUUUAAAGAUCUGCUUUAGAAUUUUAGUUCUUGGUCUCAGAACAAGAGAAUGGUCUACUUGACCUACAUGACCCUUUCCAGGUCCCCCAUCUCCAGCUCAGUUCAUGUUAUAUGCUGUCUCCUCUUCUUACAUCUUGGUGUUAGAGCCCAAAGGAUCCUUUCAUCCAGUGGGAGAGUUUUGCUUCCGAGAUUCAACCUGAAAAACGGUUAUCAUUUAGCAGAAAGGCAAACAGAAAAGCACACUUUGGUAAGCAAAACGUUAAUGAUUGGAAGAAUUGUCCUAAUUUCAUCAUGACAGUGUGUGAUUAAUCCCCUGGGUUAUGUACUUAUACUUGAAGUUAUUCAGUUCGUUGCUCUUUGAUAUCCAGAAUCCUACCUAACUUAAUAGGGUAUUGAUUUUGUUGGAUGGUGUACUUUGACUCCUUACACAACAUCACUUUUGAGGAUGACUAGCCUGUUGCGUACUAUCUUAUUUAGAGAACUAUUGCGUAAGAUUUCUCUUUUCUUUUUAUGGUUUUUCUCAGGGUGAAAGCUGAUAAGACAUCUUGUGGGAAAAGAGGAAACCAUCACUGAUAGUGAAAGUACCUAUUCGCUUUCAACAUUUCUGAGGAGCCCUUUCGUUUGUGGUUUCAUCCCUGAGACGAUGCAGCUUGGUUAAAAAUGUGGACAGAGCAGGGAUAUUCAAGAGGACUGCUUAGGUUCGGGGGAAGUGCCCUUAACUAGGGAUGGAAGCUACCCAAAUUCCCACCCUAGCCAUAGUGUCCUGUGAAAAUGGUUUCUCUUUAAAAUCCAGUCAUUUGUGAUCCUAUGCAUCUGUGACUAGAGGUAAUAUAUACCUCUCACAGGACAGAAUAUGGGACAUUAGCCACCCUGGAUGUUACCACAUGAUAAGGAUAAGAGCUUGUUAUCAUGGGGCCAGAAUAAUCACAUACCAUUCUAACAUACCUUUCAUCUUCUUG
rnacentral:lncRNA from 1 species